CCUACGGGAGGCAGCAGUAGGGAAUAUUGGGCAAUGGAGGCAACUCUGACCCAGCCAUGCCGCGUGCAGGAAGACGGUCCUCUGGAUUGUAAACUGCUUUUGAAUGGGAAGAAUGUGCUCCUUGCGAGGGGUAAUGACGGUACCAUUAGAAUAAGCCACGGCUAACUACGUGCCAGCAGCCGCGGUAAUACGUAGGUGGCGAGCGUUAUCCGGAUUUAUUGGGUUUAAAGGGUGCGUAGGCGGCUUAAUAAGUCGGUGGUUAAAAGUAGCAGCUUAACUGUUUUACAUGCCAUCGAUACUGUUGAGCUUGAGAUAUUUGGAGGCAGCUAGAAUUUCCGGUGUAGCGGUGAAAUGCAUAGAUACCGGAAGGAAUACCAAUUGCGAAGGCAGGCUGCUACGAAUAAACUGACGCUGAUGCACGAAAGCGUGGGGAUCAAACAGGAUUAGAUACCCUGGUAGUCCACGCCGUAAACGAUGAUUACUAGUUGUUGGGGUUUAAGCCUCAGUGACCAAGGGAAACCGAUAAGUAAUCCACCUGGGGAGUACGCCGGCAACGAGUGAAACUCAAA
rnacentral:rRNA from 1 species